rnacentral:misc_RNA from 1 species
CUGCAGGGAAAACUUCGUCAGAAUUAUCCAGUUGCUCGUCGUCGUCGUCGAUAGCCAUUUCAGAAAAGUAGAGUUCUCCGAAGCCGUAUUUAGUGAAAUAAUGUACAAAGGCGAACUACAGGCAGGCAAACGAGAAAGCGAAGCGGAGACGUUGACGACGACGCUACCGGCACCAUGUGUUGAACGCCGGGCUACCAAUCCCCCUUUCUUUCUCACCAGUAGCCGUGAGUAUGAUGAUGAGCCUCCGCGGAGCUCCUCGCAGUAUCGUCUCAUCUGUGGCCACAGCAACAUCAUCAUCAUCGUUCGGCCUCCAAUCGAAAUAACCGGAGGCGCGUGCAGCCAUUUGAUUUGUUAUCGACGUGGGACGAAAUAGCUCAUCGAUUCAUAGACAAAGAGGAAACGAGACAAGCUGCGCCGUCAUGCCCACAGCGGCCGUUUUGGGUGCGGCCGUGGGCGUAGGAGGAGCUUUAUUCCUGACGCUCACUUUGUUGAUCUACCGUUACCAUGCAGCGCAGAAGAAAGAAGCAGCCGAUAACCAUUAUCCGUAUCAUCAUGGCGGCAAGGGUGUCGGCUAUAGUAGUUUGAGCAACAGUUGGUCAACACGGGACAGCUGGGCGCCACCGGCCUCUUCGACGCCAUCCUACAAAGCCACCAGCUGUUUAUUGGAAGAGGAUCAUGGCGCCUGUAAUGGUAGACGUCGUCCACUCCCCAAACUCUAUCUUCCCCUCACUACCCACCAUCAGGGUUUCGAGACUGCGAAUCAUCCGAUUCAACCUCCGGCUCCUUCGCUGCCUCCAUUUCAACAUUGGUGUCCUAACGAGUCGCCAUUUUCCAUACCGAUAACAAUGUCGAGUUCGAGCGGUGGAGGGACUCGUAACAGCAACGCGGCUCCAACGGCCAACAGCAGCAAGAGAACAUCUCCGUUGAAUUAUUUCAGCCUAGACAUUCCGGCCAGUUUAUUGGGUUCCACGGGCACGACAAGCAAUACGUCGCUUCCGCACCAAUCUUGUUCGUUGCCCUUUGUCGCCCGGCUGGUGCGCACUCCUUCAACUUCUUCUUCAACGUCCGGUUACGCUGCAGGUGAUUCUCCUCAUCACGAUUACCAACAGGGCCGUUCGGAGAGUUUGCAAUGUCAACGUUCUCCGUCUCCAUCAUGUCGUCAUCGUUUGGCUUCCAAUCCGACGCCGUUGUUCGGAUCGGGAUCAUCCGGGGGACAUAUCAAUGUGAGCAGUAACAAUUUGAACUUGACGCCGUAUCCAAGUCCGUUGGUGAGUCCGACGCCUUCCUUUUCGUCGCUUCUCAACUCGUUGGCAUCCGUCACUUCAUCGACGAGCAAUUCACCCGUUCCGGCCACUACGACGACGCCGGCUUCGCCACUGGUCAGACGCAACCGAUCGCCAAUGCUCUGCUCGUUGAACAAGAUGAAUUCGGUUCAAUCAUCGUCGUCGACUACGUCCAACCAGAGCCAAGGAUCGACGACGUCGUUGUGCUGCCUGGCGAUGACGUCAACUUCGACUCCGUUCGGAGCACUUCAACCGGAACUCUACAAACGCGAAACGUCCAUUCAUGUCGGAUUGCCGGCCGAUGAUCAAGAUCAUUCGGAUCAUUCAACCAACGAAUCGUCUUUAUCAGACCAUAUUCAAUCGAAUCAUCAACAGUUAAACAGCAGUGCGGGAUCCGUUUCGAUCACGGCUGCAUCGGCGGCAACUCCUCAAAAGGGUAGCGGAGCGGCAAGCGUCCGUAGUAACAGCAACAUUCCUCUCGGAAGGAUCCAUUUCCGCCUGUCUUACGAUUUCGACAAAUCGGAUUUACUCGUCCAUCUCAUCGAAGCUUGUGACUUAUCGCUGACGAUGGCCAGUUUUACGGAUGGAAGCGGAUCGACUUCGUCGUCUGGCGGUAGUUGCAGCAGCACAAGUGGCAUGGCCGCCGUAUCGAGCAGCAAUCCACGGGAAGCGCAUGUCCGUCUUCUUUUGCAACCAGAAGUGGAUCAACGCCGUCGACAAUCUGCACGCUGCCUGCGACUGGGAACCGACACGCAGUGCUUCUUCGACGAACGCUUCAAAUUUCCCGUGUCACACGAUCACCUUGCCGAUAAGACGCUCCGAUUCCAGAUUUGCGAGUACGAUCGAUUUUCACGACCGUGCGUUGUCGGAGACUUGCAUUUCUCGCUGGCCGAUCGUGAAAAUGUCUUUGGGAGCAGCAACACCGGGCCGGGAGUCGACAUUUGGGCGGACGUGAUGCGCAACACGUUGCCAGAUGAAAGCCGGCCGCAGCUGCUCAUCUCGCUUAGUUACCUGCCAUCAGCCGAACGGCUUACCGUCGUUGUUCUCAAAGCUAAGAAUUUGGUGGUGCCCGCCAGCAAAGAAAAUAUUGAUCCAUUGGUAAAGCUCUAUCUUAUGGUUAACGGCAAACGAUUGAAGAAGAAGAAAACGGAGUGUCGUAAAGGAACAUGCCAUCCAGUUUGGAACCAAGCGCUGACAUUUACAUUACCGUCGACCAAAUUGCACAGUUGCACACUGGAGAUUUCAGUGGUAGAUCAAGGUAGUGAACGAGGUGGCAAAAGCGCCCAGUUGGGUUGUUUGGCUCUCGGUCCCGAUCAAAAUCCUGCUUCACCCGAACGCCAGCACUGGCAGGAUAUGGCCCAUAACGUCAGAAAGUCUAUCGCAAUGUGGCAUUUUCUGCAUUGAAAACACAUUGGAAAAACCAACACAAUUACACAACACCCACACAUACACAAAAAGAAAGAUAUAAAUUCCAUUUAAUUUAUUUUACGAUUUUUUUUUUUUUUUAAAGAUAGAGAAAUCUUUUACAUUUGAUUACGUGUUUCAUUUUCACACUUAGGAAACAAUUCACGUUUACGUACAAAUAUUAUAUUCUAAUUUCGAUGUCUGUCGUGCACUUCCAUCAACUUGGAUGUCCGUUGACCUUAAAAUUCAAUGUCAAUCCACCUCCUAUCUCAACUAUUUAUUCAAUCGAUUUCUUAUGCGUUAUUGAGUUUACUCAAUGUCUUUACGAUGUUUGGUACAUGUCAUACAAACACACGCCAAAAGCUUACAAACAAAAACGUUGACAAUUUUCAUUUGAUACGAAAUCACGUGCCAUUUUUUUUUUUUCUGUUUGACAUGGAACAAAAAUAUAUGUGUCUGAAAUUA